rnacentral:rRNA from 1 species
UAGUGGCGAACGGGUGAGUAACACGUGGGCAAUCUGCCCUUCACUCUGGGACAAGCCCUGGAAACGGGGUCUAAUACCGGAUAACACUCCUACAGGCAUGUGUGGGGGUUGAAAGCUCCGGCGGUGAAGGAUGAGCCCGCGGCCUAUCAGCUUGUUGGUGAGGUAGAAGCUCACCAAGGCGACGACGGGUAGCCGGCCUGAGAGGGCGACCGGCCACACUGGGACUGAGACACGGCCCAGACUCCUACGGGAGGCAGCAGUGGGGAAUAUUGCACAAUGGGCGAAAGCCUGAUGCAGCGACGCCGCGUGAGGGAUGACGGCCUUCGGGUUGUAAACCUCUUUCAGCAGGGAAGAAGCGAAAGUGACGGUACCUGCAGAAGAAGCGCCGGCUAACUACGUGCCAGCAGCCGCGGUAAUACGUAGGGCGCAAGCGUUGUCCGGAAUUAUUGGGCGUAAAGAGCUCGUAGGCGGUCUGUCGCG